AGUGAACGCUGGCGGCGUGGCUUAGGCAUGCAAGUCGAGCGCGAAAGUCUUCGGAUGAGUAGAGCGGCGAAAGGGUGAGUAAUGCAUAGACAACCUACCCCAAGGACCGGAAUAACUACUGGAAACGGUAGCUAAUGCCGGAUGGUCUUGCGAGGCGGCAUCGCCUUGCAAGUAAAUGGUUGCUUCCGGGCUUCUGCCAUGGGAGGGGUCUAUGUCCUAUUAGCUAGUUGGUGAGGUAACGGCUCACCAAGGCGACGAUGGGUAGCCGGACUGAGAGGUCGAUCGGCCACACUGGAACUGAGACACGGUCCAGACUCCUACGGGGGGCAGCAGUGAGGAAUAUUGGGCAAUGGACGAAAGUCUGACCCAGCAACGCCGCGUGGAGGAUGAAGGUUUUUGGAUUGUAAACUCCUUUUGUGGGGGAAGAGUGAGGACGGUACCCCAAGAUAAGUCACGGCUAACUACGUGCCAGCAGCCGCGGUAAUGCACGAUGU
rnacentral:rRNA from 1 species